GCUUAUGCGUUGUUGGGUAGGGGAGCGUUCUGUAAGCCUGUGAAGGUGGCCUGUGAGGGUUGCUGGAGGUAUCAGAAGUGCGAAUGCUGACAUAAGUAACGAUAAAGCGGGUGAAAAGCCCGCUCGCCGGAAGACCAAGGGUUCCUGUCCAACGUUAAUCGGGGCAGGGUGAGUCGACCCCUAAGGCGAGGCCGAAAGGCGUAGUCGAUGGGAAACGGGUUAAUAUUCCCGUACUUGGUGUUACUGCGAAGGGGGGACGGAGAAGGCUAUGUUGGCCGGGCGACGGUUGUCCCGGUUUAAGCGUGUAGGUGUGUGUUCCAGGUAAAUCCGGUUCACUUUAACACUGAGGCGUGACGACGAGGCACUACGGUGCUGAAGCAACAAAUGCCCUGCUUCCAGGAAAAGCCUCUAAGCAUCAGGUAACAUCAAAUCGUACCCCAAACCGACACAGGUGGUCAGGUAGAGAAUACCAAGGCGCUUGAGAGAACUCGGGUGAAGGAACUAGGCAAAAUGGUGCCGUAACUUCGGGAGAAGGCACGCUGACACGUAGGUGAAGUGAUUUACUCAUGGAGCUGAAGUCAGUCGAAGAUACCAGCUGGCUGCAACUGUUUAUUAAAAACACAGCACUGUGCAAACACGAAAGUGGACGUAUACGGUGUGACGCCUGCCCGGUGCCGGAAGGUUAAUUGAUGGGGUCAGCGCAAGCGAAGCUCCUGAUCGAAGCCCCGGUAAACGGCGGCCGUAACUAUAACGGUCCUAAGGUAGCGAAAUUCCUUGUCGGGUAAGUUCCGACCUGCACGAAUGGCGUAAUGAUGGCCAGGCUGUCUCCACCCGAGACUCAGUGAAAUUGAACUCGCUGUGAAGAUGCAGUGUACCCGCGGCAAGACGGAAAGACCCCGUGAACCUUUACUAUAGCUUGACACUGAACAUUGAGCCUUGAUGUGUAG
rnacentral:rRNA from 1 species